GUUGAGCUUUCGCGUGUUCCACUUCGAUGGAGCAAGAACUGUACUCGGAGAGAGUCUCUUGUGCUUUUCUCAACACCGAUUUUUCCUCUGCGCCUCCAUUUGCAUUUGCAAAGCCUGAGUUAUCUCCACACUUCUGAUAAAGCACAACCCUUGAUCUUGCUGGUGAAGACAUUCCUCUGUUUUUCCUCGCACUCUGAUUGGAAGGAAAAAAAAAGGUGUGGAGAGAAUCUCUAAUGCAGCAAAAAACAGGGAAAGCCACACUCUUCAAUUUUGAUUCUCAAAAGGAGAGAAAAGAAGCUAAGUGGAUGGAAGGAAUCAAAGAAUCUAAAGGGUUAGAUAUUAGGACAAGCAAGUAUAUUUUGUGAUAAACAAGUACUUUUUGUAGUAAGAUAAGUGUUGAUAAAUGUAAGAUGUACAAUGAAUUAUAUAUAUAUUGGAAUUUAUUGUGUGUAA